AGAGUUUGAUCCUGGCUCAGGACGAACGCUUGCGGCGUGCCUAAGAAAUGCAAGUCGAACGAGGACUUCGGUCCUAGUGGCGAACGGUCGCGUAACACGUAAGCAACCUGCCCUGAAGUGGGGGACAACAUCCCGAAAGGGGUGCUAAUACCGCAUGUGGUCACGAGUCGGCAUCGACUUGUGUCUAAAGAUUUAUCGCUUCAGGAUGGGCUUGCGGCCUAUCAGGUAGUUGGUGGGGUAAUGGCCUACCAAGCCGACGACGGGUAGCUGGUCUGAGAGGACGAUCAGCCGGAUUGGGACUGAGAUACGGCCCAGACUCCUACGGGGGGCAGCAAUUAGGAAUCUUGCGCAAUGGGGGAAACCCUGACGCAGCGGCGUCGCGUGAAGGAUGAAGGCCCUCGGGUCGUAAACUUCUUUUGAGUGGGAAGAAAUUUGACGGUACCACUCGAAUAAGCCCCGGCUAACUACGUGCCAGCAGCCGCGGUAAUACGUAGGGGGCGAGCGUUGUCCGAAGUUACUGGGCGUAAAGCGCGCGUAGGCGGUUAUUUAAGUCUGGGGUGAAAGGUUCAGCGCUCAACGUGAACAGUGCCUUGGAUACUGGAUGACUUGAGUCUGGGAGGGGGAAGGGGAAUUC
rnacentral:rRNA from 1 species